rnacentral:rRNA from 1 species
GACGAACGCUGGCGGCGUGCUUAACACAUGCAAGUCGAGCGGUAAGGCCCUUUCGGGGGUACACGAGCGGCGAACGGGUGAGUAACACGUGGGUGACCUGCCCUCAGCUCUGGGAUAAGCCCGGGAAACUGGGUCUAAUACUGGAUAUGACUCCACGGUGCAUGCCGUGGGGUGGAAAGCCUUGUGCGGCUGAGGAUGGGCCCGCGGCCUAUCAGCUUGUUGGUGGGGUGAGGCCUACCAAGGCGACGACGGGUAGGCCGGCCUGAGAGGGCGACCGGCCACACUGGGACUGAGACACGGCCCAGACUCCUACGGGAGGCAGCAGUGGGGAAUCUUGCGCAAUGGGCGAAAGCCUGACGCAGCGACGCCGCGUGAGGGAUGACGGCCUCGGU